rnacentral:lncRNA from 1 species
AAAUCUUGGUUCCUGCUGUGGAGAACAUCCUCAGGACUUCCAGGCAACAACAAAGUCAGCAAAGAGCUGUGACAUUCACCUGCUCCUGAGCUAUGCAGGAUGGUGUUCCCUGUGGAUCGGGGCAUGCGGGAAAACUCACUGGCUGACCUUGACUUUUCACAGAACUUGGGAUGUCAUGAAACGAACAUGACUUAGACUUGCCCGAGUUUAGACCUCCUUCUGAAGUGUAACCCUGUGUCUGUCCGAAUUCUUGGGGAAGCUGAGGAAACCAGGGCUGUGACUGUAAUAUUCUGCUGUACCUAUGAUCUGUGCCCAUGAUGCUCUGCUGUAUCCAUGAUGCUGUGCCCAUGAUGCCAUGUCAUGCUCUCUGUACCUUGCCAUGCCUGUGACACUAUGCCCUCUCCCUGGGAUUCUGCAGUCUUCCUGGCUGCUCUAGAAGCCAGGGAGAUUCCACCCCAUGUAAAAUGCUCCUGGGGUGGCCUGCUGACCUGGAUUCUCCUCUCAACAUCUUGAGCCCAACCACCUCUGCUGUCAAACUACACAUGGCCCAGGUGACUUCUCUCACAAAUGGGAGAGGGAAUCAGAGCAUUUCAUAGUCAGAGCAGAGGCCCUGGGGAGAUGCCCAUCUGCAGCAGACUUGGGACAACUGAUCCAAUUCAAGUCCAUCAUUGUGCAGAGUGGGAUUGUGAGCCUCAGAGUGGAGAGAAGAUUCAUCCAACUGUGGGUUCGGUGCCAGCCAGAGUGGGACUCCACCCUGACUCCCAGUUCAGAGCUCAUUUUGGUGGGGGGUCCUGAAGUUCUACCAUCAUAGUUACCCCUUGCUUGGGUCUCCAAAAUGUCCCUGUUCCAAUGUAUAUCUGUUACUUAAAUAACACAUUUGCAACAUAGCUAUCAGAGGGGUUGGUUUUUAUUUAGAAAGAAGCUAAUAAGUUAUAUUUUAUUUAUUAUAAAGAC